AAGGAAAAAGUGAAGCUGCCAGCAUGAUCUAGCUUUGGUUAGAGAGCUGAAGAAGAGUGUUAAAUGCUAACCCUUACUAGGUCAUGCUGUAACAGCCUCACUCCUUCCUA
rnacentral:pre_miRNA from 1 species